AGUGAACGCUGGCGGCAGGCCUAACACAUGCAAGUCGAGCGGCAGCGCGUCCGACCACCCUCGGGUGGUCGGAUGGCGGCGAGCGGCGGACGGGUGAGGAAUGCAUUGGAAUCUGCCUCGUUGUGGGGGAUAACGUAGGGAAACUUACGCUAAUACCGCAUACGACCUACGGGUGAAAGUGGGGGACCUUCGGGCCUCACGCGAUGAGAUGAGCCGAUGCCGGAUUAGCUAGUUGGCGGGGUAAAGGCCCACCAAGGCGACGAUCCGUAGCUGGUCUGAGAGGAUGAUCAGCCACACUGGAACUGAGACACGGUCCAGACUCCUACGGGAGGCAGCAGUGGGGAAUAUUGGACAAUGGGGGCAACCCUGAUCCAGCCAUGCCGCGUGUGUGAAGAAGGCCUCGGUUGUAAG
rnacentral:rRNA from 1 species